rnacentral:rRNA from 1 species
AAUCUAUGAUGAUUCCCUUAGUAACGGCGAGUGAACAGGGAGAAGCCCAAAUUUGUAAUCUGGCACUUUUUACAAGUGUCCGAGUUGUAAUUUGUAGAACUGUUAUCCGUCCUGGACCAUGUACAAGUCUGUUGAAAAGCAGCAUCAUUGAAGGUGAAAAUCCUGUAGAUGAUAUGGACUACCAGUACUUUUGUGAUACGGUUUCUAAGAGUCGAGUUGUUUGGGAAUGCAGCUCAAAGUGGGUGGUAAAUUCCAUCUAAGGCUAAAUAUAAGUGAGAGACCGAUAGCAAACAAGUACCGUGAGGGAAAGAUGAAAAGAACUUUGAAAAUAGAGUUAACAGUACGUGAAAUUGCUGAAAGGUAAACGUUUGAAGUUAGUUUUGUAUUCGUUAGAUCAGCUUCGCAAGGAGUGUAUUCUGAUGAUAAGCAAGUCAACAUCAGUCUAUGAGUGUCGGAGAAGGGUUUUGAGAAUGUAGCAAUUUAAUUGUGUUAUAGCUUGAGACUUGGAUACGAUGCUUUGGAUUGAGGAACGCGUAGUAAGC